GAUGAACGCUGGCGGCGUGCCUAAUACAUGCAAGUCGAGCGAACGGACGAGAAGCUUGCUUUUCUGAUGUUAGCGGCGGACGGGUGAGUAACACGUGGAUAACCUACCUAUAAGACUGGGAUAACUUCGGGAAACCGGAGCUAAUACCGGAUAAUAUAUUGAACCGCAUGGUUCAAAAGUGAAAGACGGUCUUGCUGUCACUUAUAGAUGGAUCCGCGCUGCAUUAGCUAGUUGGUAAGGUAACGGCUUACCAAGGCAACGAUGCAUAGCCGACCUGAGAGGGUGAUCGGCCACACUGGAACUGAGACACGGUCCAGACUCCUACGGGAGGCAGCAGUAGGGAAUCUUCCGCAAUGGGCGAAAGCCUGACGGAGCAACGCCGCGUGAGUGAUGAAGGUCUUCGGAUCGUAAAACUCUGUUAUUAGGGAAGAACAAAUGUGUAAGUAACUGUGCACAUCUUGACGGUACCUAAUCAGAAAGCCACGGCUAACUACGUG
rnacentral:rRNA from 1 species